AGCAGCCUUUCCCUCAUUUUGUGCUUUCUUGAUCUUUUGUCACAACCUGUUCCUUCUUUCUAUGUCCUCCGGGCUGAGAUGCUCGGCGAAAUGCAGACCAUGGCUCGGAAGGAAGGCAUUCUUCCUAGCAGCUUUCCAGACAUCAUCCCUGUAGAAUCUGGCAGUGAAGAGGAUGAUGAUACCCCUUGGUCUUGAAUCGUUUUGCUGUUGCUUCUUGCCGAGGCGAUGCACAACGUCGAUGGUAUCACCAACUUUGUUCUUCUCUGCAGGCAUAACUUCUUGGCAGAUGCGGAUAGCCUUUCCUCGCACAUCUUUAUUCUCCACCUCUGGCAAGCCGUAGAGUCUCAGGUUCCAUCUUCUUGUGUAUUGUUCCAGAUCAGUGAGACGUCUAUGUCUUGUCCUAUCGCUGCAACACCCCUACGGACUUGGGAGAGGUUAAUAUCGAGAGCCAUGCAUCCUCCGAAACACGACCCUGCCAAGCCGCACUGCUUCUUGACACACUGCUCGCUUAACCCAGAAGCCGGCCGUACCAAUGUGUCGGAGGAAACACCUUCCAGUUGGCGACUGAAGUCAGCUUGCAGGCACCCGGCCCACCACAAGGAGUCGCUAUAGUGCAAUGGGACAAGGAAAUCCCAGGCCCGGCCAAACCCUCCCCUAACCCGGACGACGCUGGGCCAAUUGUGUGCUGCCUCAUGGGUCUUCCGGUUAUUGCCUAGUGAGCUAGCUGGUUAGACAACUUGGUUAGAUAGUGAGCUAAAGUUGGCUUGCUAGCUCACAAAGUACUUGUGGCCUCAAUGUUUUCCCAUACAAAACACAAACUCAUCAAAUGAUACAAUAUUGUGUAAAACAUUGAAUUUGUAGAUGCAUCAAAAUUGACUUUAUAUCCCCUUUUCCUCGUGGUUUAGACAUGAGGCGUGACAUGCGGAACAUCAGGCUCACCCCAAGAGAAAGCAGUGCAUGACAAAUGCCACCCUCAGCAAGGAGAUCUGUUGGAAGUGAUGGGGGAAAGACAUCAUUUAAACAUCAUGGAUAUAAAUUCCAACUGUGCCCAUGAUAAAAUGCCAUGUCCUGACAGGAGGCGCGACGAGUACGCUGAUCCGGAGCCUGCCCAAAAAACUGAUUGGAAUAAAACCUCAAAGUAAGAACAAAAACUGCGUGAAAAAAAUAUUUAUAAGAUAUUUAGAUGUUCACUGAUGCAAUGACAGCUUUGGGAGCGUGUGGUCCUUGAAAAACUCCUCUAAACCAGCAAAAUGAGUCUGCCAGAGGUCGUCAUGCUGGAUGGGGGUGGUGAUCGAGGCUUUGGUGGUCCACACAACGAAGAAGCAAGUGUCCCUUCCAUUGAUGUGGAGCUGCCCUUGGACCUAAUGCCAGUAAGGAUGGUCUUCAUGGAGGAUGUAAGACCCUACCUCCUGGAUCUAGAAAUCCUUCGACUUCACUGCCUCCUCAAUGGUAAGGUCCCUUGCACCGUAGAGACACUUGACGUCCACCACAGCUGUGGGGCCCACCAGACCAUCCGGUGAAGCACCCAGGACCCAAAGCUCUGACUCCUGCACAUCCCUCCCUGUAGUCAUUUUGAAUGCCUUGAUGCCCUCCUCUUCAUUAUCUGUGCCACACUUUACAGAAAACACCUCAUCCAAUGACUGUGAUCCCCUGGUCACCUAUAGAGACCUGCCGAGAGGAAAGAUGUUAAGUGCCACAUGCCUUUCAAUGCAUGACUUUGAACACCUUGAAAUGCAUUUGUUGUAUGAUAUGUGCUAUAUAAAUUGUUUGAUUUGUUUGAUGACAUUACAGCUGUAGAAUA